rnacentral:rRNA from 1 species
AGAGUCUGAAUCAGCUUGUGUGUUAGUGGAACGGUCUGGAAAGUCCGACGGUACAGGGUGAUAGUCCCGUACACCAAAAUGCACAGGCUGUGAACUCGAAGAGUAGGGCGGGACACGUGGUAUCCUGUCUGAAUAUGGGGGGACCAUCCUCCAAGGCUAAAUACUCCUGACUGACCGAUAGUGAACCAGUACCGUGAGGGAAAGGCGAAAAGAACCCCGGCGAGGGGAGUGAAAAAGAACCUGAAACCGUGUACGUACAAGCAGUGGGAGCACCUUUAUGGUGUGACUGCGUACCUUUUGUAUAAUGGGUCAGCGACUUAUAUUCUGUAGCAAGGUUAACCGUAUAGGGGAGCCGCAGGGAAACCGAGUCUUAACUGGGCGUUAAGUUGCAGGGUAUAGACCCGAAACCCGGUGAUCUAGCCAUGGGCAGGUUGAAGGUUGGGUAACACUAACUGGAGGACCGAACCGACUAAUGUUGAAAAAUUAGCGGAUGACUUGUGGCUGGGGGUGAAAGGCCAAUCAAACCGGGAGAUAGCUGGUUCUCCCCGAAAGCUAUUUAGGUAGCGCCUCGUGAACUCAUCUUCGGGGGUAGAGCACUGUUUCGGCUAGGGGGUCAUCCCGACUUACCAACCCGAUGCAAACUACGAAUACCGAAGAAUGUUAUCACGGGAGACACACGGCGGGUGCUAACGUCCGUCGUGAAGAGGGAAACAACCCAGACCGCCAGCUAAGGUCCCAAAGUCAUGGUUAAGUGGGAAACGAUGUGGGAAGGCACAGACAGCCAGGAUGUUGGCUUAGAAGCAGCCAUCAUUUAAAGAAAGCGUAAUAGCUCACUGGUCGAGUCGGCCUGCGCGGAAGAUGUAACGGGGCUAAACCAUGCACCGAAGCUGCGGCAGCGACACUAUGUGUUGUUGGGUAGGGGAGCGUUCUGUAAGCCUGCGAAGGUGGCCUGUGAGGGUUGCUGGAGGUAUCAGAAGUGCGAAUGCUGACAUAAGUAACGAUAAAGCGGGUGAAAAGCCCGCUCGCCGGAAGACCAAGGGUUCCUGUCCAACGUUAAUCGGGGCAGGGUGAGUCGACCCCUAAGGCGAGGCCGAAAGGCGUAGUCGAUGGGAAACAGGUUAAUAUUCCUGUACUUGGUGUUACUGCGAAGGGGGGACGGAGAAGGCUAUGUUAGCCGGGCGACGGUUGUCCCGGUUUAAGCAUGUAGGCUGGUUAUCCAGGCAAAUCCGGAUAAUCAAGGCUGAGGUGUGAUGACGAGGCACUACGGUGCUGAAGUAACAAAUGCCCUGCUUCCAGGAAAAGCCUCUAAGCAUCAGGUAACAUCAAAUCGUACCCCAAACCGACACAGGUGGUCAGGUAGAGAAUACCAAGGCGCUUGAGAGAACUCGGGUGAAGGAACUAGGCAAAAUGGUGCCGUAACUUCGGGAGAAGGCACGCUGGUGUGUAGGUGAAGUCCCUGCGGAUGGAGCUGAGACCAGUCGAAGAUACCAGCUGGCUGCAACUGUUUAUUAAAAACACAGCACUGUGCAAACACGAAAGUGGACGUAUACGGUGUGACGCCUGCCCGGUGCCGGAAGGUUAAUUGAUGGGGUUAUCCGUAAGGAGAAGCUCUUGAUCGAAGCCCCGGUAAACGGCGGCCGUAACUAUAACGGUCCUAAGGUAGCGAAAUUCCUUGUCGGGUAAGUUCCGACCUGCACGAAUGGCGUAAUGAUGGCCAGGCUGUCUCCACCCGAGACUCAGUGAAAUUGAACUCGCUGUGAAGAUGCAGUGUACCCGCGGCAAGACGGAAAGACCCCGUGAACCUUUACUAUAGCUUGACACUGAACAUUGAGCCUUGAUGUGUAGGAUAGGUGGGAGGCUUUGAAGCGUGGACGCCAGUCUGCGUGGAGCCAACCUUGAAAUACCACCCUUUAAUGUUUGAUGUUCUAACGUUGGCCCCUUAUCGGGGUUGCGGACAGUGUCUGGUGGGUAGUUUGACUGGGGCGGUCUCCUCCCAAAGCGUAACGGAGGAGCACGAAGGUUAGCUAAUCCUGGUCGGACAUCAGGAGGUUAGUGCAAUGGCAUAAGCUAGCUUGACUGCGAGCGUGACGGCGCGAGCAGGUGCGAAAGCAGGUCAUAGUGAUCCGGUGGUUCUGAAUGGAAGGGCCAUCGCUCAACGGAUAAAAGGUACUCCGGGGAUAACAGGCUGAUACCGCCCAAGAGUUCAUAUCGACGGCGGUGUUUGGCACCUCGAUGUCGGCUCAUCACAUCCUGGGGCUGAAGUAGGUCCCAAGGGUAUGGCUGUUCGCCAUUUAAAGUGGUACGCGAGCUGGGUUUAGAACGUCGUGAGACAGUUCGGUCCCUAUCUGCCGUGGGCGCUGGAGAAUUGAGGGGGGCUGCUCCUAGUACGAGAGGACCGGAGUGGACGCAUCACUGGUGUUCGGGUUGUCAUGCCAAUGGCACUGCCCGGUAGCUAAAUGCGGAAGAGAUAAGUGCUGAAAGCAUCUAAGCACGAAACUUGCCCCGAGAUGAGUUCUCCCUGAGACUUUAAGUCUCCUGAAGGAACGUUGAAGACGACGACGUUGAUAGGCCGGGUGUGUAAGCGCAGCGAUGCGUUGAGCUAACCGGUACUAAUGAACCGUGAGGCUUAACCUU